CCUUCAGUCUCUGAGAGAACGGCCGAGAGGAGGCGGAGUCUGACUGUGAGGCUCUUUGUGUUGGGCAGACCAACUGAGCAUGAAACCUCAGAUGAAGCUGAAACCAGAAUCCAGCUGUGGACUCUGAUAAGACCAGAGGAGUCCCUGACAAACGUCACUCUGUCUUUGUCUGGAUCUUCUGACCAGCGCACUUCAGGCUGAGGGAACCAGCCUUCAGAUUCACAGCUCACAUUCACCGUGUGGUCUUCUUUCGAAACUGCAGACAGAACAGGGAGGCUUCCUGUUUCUGUGAGGAGAUUAGAAGAAGAUGAUGACGCUUUAAUCCAGAAGAUGCUGUUUGAUUUUCUGUCUAUUUCUCUAUCUUCAGACUCACCUGUCACAUAGAGAUUCAUACUUCCACUGUCAUGUUCCUGAACUCUGUUGACAUAGCACGUAUAUUUCCCGUCAUCUCUAACUGUAACAUUUGUCAGCUUUAAGGUCACGUCGCCCGUUUUCAGGCCUCCAGACGUUGAGUCCUUUUUGUCAAAUGAGACUCGGCCGACAUAUGAACCAUCCAUGAAGAACCUGUUAGCUUUUCCUGGAAUAUAAAUCAUGACUGGAGUGUCAACAUGGUCCUCAUGAUACCAGCGGAUCACCAGAUCCUCAGCGUUUUGGUGUGGGGUGAGCCAGCAGGGCAGGAGGACUGUGUCCCCACGGCGGACAGACUUGGACUCUCCAACAGAAACCACAAAACGUUCUGAAACUUUAACAGAAACAUCAAAACAGUCAGUCCUGGUAUGUGUUUUUAUUUCUUUUUUGUUGUCAAAUAGAAGAUGAAAAAACUCAGUAUGUCUAACGUUUAGGUCUGAAUUUAAAUUUUUUUUUUUUUUAAAUGACAAAUGAGCAUAUGUUUAACACAAUUGUUAAAAUAAUACAUGUAAACAUAGCAUUGACUUAAAUGGGUACUCAUUGGGUUGGCUCACUACGCUAGCCAUAGUGAGCUCCUUUUUAGCAAGCUCCGUUGUAAGCUAACGAGCUAUGCUGUAUCAAGUUAAUGAGCUCCACUGUAACGAGCUAGCAAGCUCCGCUGAAGCAAGCUCCAUUGUAUGAAGCUAGCGAGCUCCAUUGUAUAGAGCUAGCGAGCUCCACUAGAGCAAGCUACAUAUUGAGUGCUCACUUAACCCAGUGUGGGCAAACACAUGUGGGGCCACCAUGGAAAAUGUGGACAAACCCAACUGGGGCAGACAUUUUCUGCCUAAUUAUACACCACAUGGGGCUCACUUGGUCUCUCUGGCUGGGCUUUUACAUUUUUUUUCUAUUAUGGAAUUAUCCUGGAUAAAUAAAAAGUCUUCUCCCACACACACAAUAUGUGUGUAUAUAGACACACACAUACAUAUAUAUAUUUGGCCUGUUAAAUUAUUGCAUUAAUUACAAUAAUAAUUUACAGACAUUUUAGCGUGUUAGUUUUUUUUUUUAAGAAUUGUGUUAAUUCUCAUUUUUGCAUCGGGUGGUUAUUUCCGAGUUAUGUACACCUGGAGGAGCAUUGUAUCCAACAAUUAAACAAUUAAAUACUUAAUAAAUUA